rnacentral:misc_RNA from 1 species
UCCGGGCAUUGACUCUUCCCUUACAUGAUUGUGUGCUGCUAUGGUGACACGUCAACAAAAUAAAUUUUGUGACUCAAACGAUACAAUCAUGUGGUAGGGCCAAGGUCACCAUAUGUGCAGAGAUGUGAAAGAUUUCUAAGACUACCUUCGUGCUAAUUUAUAGAAAGAUUACUCGACUCAUGCUCUAUGUGGACAGAAUUAAACUCACAGGGAGUUAUUUAUUCAUGAGAUUUAUUUUUAUCAACUACCUCCUGAAUUUUUACAUCACCAAUUAUGUCUGCACGAGAAGCCCGCUUUGUAACCCCAGAGGCCCAAGUAAUCACCAAUAAAAGAUUCAGCAUUGGUGGAACAUUACUGAAGACACCAUGGACAAGAAGACAUACACCAUAUGCUAAGACUCCAAAAAGUAGAAGGAUAGCUGGUCCAGAGAAAAGUGCAGCUUUAGACGUCAGCCUGUCGUCAGCUGAAAGACGUGAUGACCUUGCACAGGAAGAAGAAACUUUGUCAGGACUAGUUAACAAGACAUGGAGAGUCUACCAGAUGACACCACUUUACAACUUCAAAUAUGGUAAACUGAAAGAAUAUUCAAGAUCACUAUCAAAAUAUUUACAAGCCCAAAUUCAAAAAGGUAUAGAACUUGACCCGAAUGCUGAAGUGUCAAGUGAUGUAAAAAUAACAGAAGUAAAAGGUCUGAACAUGGCUGAGGAAGAUAAUGUUGCUUUGAAGGUCACAGUCAGGAGUAAACAGAAAGCAGCAAAUGGUGAAAAGAAGGUAUUGCUGACUAUGUUAUUAUGCUGCACCGAUGCCCUGAGAGAGUGCAAGCCAACAUGUCCUGAUUCAUUCACCAUUCUCCCCCUAAUGCUGAGUAAUGGGAAUAUGACUAUGGGCAACCAUAUAAACAAUUGGUUCAAGACAUCAUUUGACUGUUCUGUCCAAAAGAUGGUGUUCAACUCCAUUGAGUUAGCAUGGAUGGUUUCUAUGUGGGCCAGUUUAGUACCAGAACGCAGUGCCAAGAGUGUUGAGUUAACCUAUAAGGUGCCAGAUGAGGUGGAAGGCUUAGACAGAAUUACAUAUACUAUAGAUCCACAUGAUUGCAAAGCAAUAUGGGAAAGUGUUCAUGAUGAAAGCAAAGAUAUGGCAGAAGCAGAUGAGGUGUCUGAGUUUGUGCUGUCUUUAGAGAAACACUUUGAUGUUGUCUUUAAGACUCACCUCAGUUCGCUGUUCUUAACCAGAGUUGGGACAUCUGUAGCUUAUGUAUCAACUGAGGGAAAACUAAAGCUGUUUACAAAAAAACACAUACACAAAGUUUUACGAUAUUUGACUGAACUAGCAUUAGAAAAAAUCCAAGCAGGAACAGGAACGUAGCAACAAAAAAUGCCAGAAAGUAUCCAUUUUGGAAAUAAAAAUAGAUAUUCAUGUGUUGUAUAUAAUGUUAUUGGAGCAUUGGAUUACUGCAACAAUCAUGUGAUUAUAUUACAAUGAGGAGAUUAUAGUGAUUAAGCAGGAUCAUCUCUAGGAUUAUUUACUUCUGAGAUAAUUACAAAUAUAAAAACAGUGUUUGGCAAGUAUUUAUUAUAGAAGCAAUUAGCACCGGGCCUGGUAUCCUAGAUUGACAGAACCAGAACCCUGGAAUGACAGCACUAGUACCCAGGAUUGACAUGACUGGUACCCUGGAUCGGUAGAACCAGUGCCCUAGAUUGAAAGGACUAGUACCUUGGACUGCCAGAAUCAAUACCCAGGAUUGACA